ACGUAGGGCGCAAGCGUUGUCCGGAUUCACUGGGUGUAAAGGGUGCGCAGGCGGGCUGGCAAGUCAGCGGUGAAAUCUCGCAGCUCAACUGUGAAACUGCCGUUGAUACUGCCAGUCUUGAGUUCGGGAGAGGUUGAUGGAAUUCCAGGUGUAGCGGUGAAAUGCGUAGAUAUCUGGAAGAACACCGGUGGCGAAGGCGGUCAACUGGCCCGGAACUGACGCUGAGGCACGAAAGCGUGGGGAUCAAACAGGA
rnacentral:rRNA from 1 species